CAUUCUGAUUCUUCCCAGGCCUAUUAUAGCAACCCACUUGAGGCAGGGUCACAAGACCGAUCUUCAACAAAACACUUCAUUCUCUCUGUAGGCUUGUAGUAUAGAAGUUGGGAGCUGACUGAUCAUCUCUAUCAUUCUAUAUAUGGAACAAAACGGGCAGCAUGGAUGAAAAUAUAUAUGAAUGAGACUUUUCAUUGUCCUGGUAAGGUACCGAGAAGUACCAAAUUUUUAAUGUAAAUUUUAACACCUAUUGGUGUCUGAGGUGAUCAAAUUUUACACUAUAAUAUAAUAUGUGGUAUCACCCGGUAUCUUCUCGUGGACUAUAAAAUUAAUCCAUAUAGAUGCAAAAUCUGUAUCGAUGCAGUAAUUCAAGUUGUGCCGCUGAAUCCAAUAUGCACCUCUGCACCUGUCUCAUCACUACAAUACUGAUCGGUUCCAUUGAAUGAAGUAACUGGCCUGUUCAUCUCUCCUUUUGGCAAGGGAAAAAGAGUUUUCCCCUUUAGCCUUUGUAGCACUGGAGCUAUUGUCAUAAUCUCAACAUGGCUGCAGUAUUUGAUUGCCUGCAAUUUAUGCAAAACCUGCAGUUCAGUUUGACUGCACACAUCAGGACCACAGGGCUACCACUUUUUGUCCAGUUCAUCAUUUGGGAAAUAUUUGAAACCAUCACGCCAUCAGAAUUGAGAUCAGUUUAGGUGGUCAAAUCUGAAAGAUUAAAUAUCAGUAUAUCACAAGAAAAUAUUAAUCUACCCCCACUUUUUAGCAUCAUUUGAAUAUAACGAAGUUCCUCAAUUUCUAGCAUCUUCCGAAUGUUACUAUUGUUCCUCAAUUGUGCUGGCUCGAUCAGUAAGCGCAGGUCCUAAACAAACAUAUAUCACCUUGAAUCUGAACAACUGCUCAGAGGAGUUAAAGACUAACAAACUACACGAUUUGCAUACACACAAGACAUUAUACAGAAGGAGGACAGUUAAUUUGUGCCUGUCACAUAGUUACUCCAUUGAUAUGCCUGCCACCGUUGUCGCCGGCCACUGCAUGGCAACGAUUUCAGCUUACUCAUGGUAAUGCAACAACAACAUCCCAUCUGCGGUGAGCGAUCCGCUGCACAUAUACGCCCAUUUCCACUCUGAUGGCACACCAGUGAAAAGACUACUCCUGAUGCCUCCUAGGCCAAACAAAAGCAUAUGCAUCGCAAAGCAACCCGAGCUGCACAGUGAGUGGCAAUGGCCUGGUCUGCAUGCCCUCUGUUCUUGAAAUGCGGUGCAUUUCUGUCAGCCUUUCAAUGCAGCACCUACCACCUGUAUAUAUGGGCCAAUUAUCAUCGAUGGGGGACUGGAUAUAUCUCAGCGCUUGAUCAUAUAAUGUUCAAUUCGAUUGAAAAGUUUGGUUGAGAAACAAGGAAAAGUUGAUGAAUAUCUGGUAACUUGAUCCAGAGCCGUUAAUUCACACCAAAUCAUGUCGACCUUUAGGAAGAUGGGACAAUAUUAAUUAAUUAUCUGAUAUAACUGAAAAUUUCAGCACUAAACAGUAGUGCACUGUGUAUCAUGUAUGACUCCUGCAAUAGUUGUAAGACAUAAAGGGUGCGGUUCAGUUAACACAUGCACCUCAUCUACCAGAAAUUUACCACAAUAGUCGAAUUCACCACUUCAAUAGGAAA